rnacentral:rRNA from 1 species
GAUGAACGCUGGCUUCGUGCCUAAUACAUGCAAGUCGAGCGAACGGACGAGAAGCUUGCUUCUCUGAUGUUAGCGGCGGACGGGUGAGUAACACGUGGAUAACCUACCUAUAAGACUGGGAUAACUUCGGGAAACCGGAGCUAAUACCGGAUAAUAUUUUGAACCGCAUGGUUCAAAAGUGAAAGACGGUCUUGCUGUCACUUAUAGAUGGAUCCGCGCUGCAUUAGCUAGUUGGUAAGGUAACGGCUUACCAAGGCAACGAUGCAUAGCCGACCUGAGAGGGUGAUCGGCCACACUGGAACUGAGACACGGUCCAGACUCCUACGGGAGGCAGCAGUAGGGAAUCUUCCGCAAUGGGCGAAAGCCUGACGGAGCAACGCCGCGUGAGUGAUGAAGGUCUUCGGAUCGUAAAACUCUGUUAUUAGGGAAGAACAUAUGUGUAAGUAACUGUGCACAUCUUGACGGUACCUAAUCAGAAAGCCACGGCUAACUACGUGCCAGCAGCCGCGGUAAUACGUAGGUGGCAAGCGUUAUCCGGAAUUAUUGGGCGUAAAGCGCGCGUAGGCGGUUUUUUAAGUCUGAUGUGAAAGCCCACGGCUCAACCGUGGAGGGUCAUUGGAAACUGGAAAACUUGAGUGCAGAAGAGAAAAGUGGAAUUCCAUGUGUAGCGGUGAAAUGCGCAGAGAUAUGGAGGAACACCAGUGGCGAAGGCGACUUUCUGGUCUGUAACUGACGCUGAUGUGCGAAAGCGUGGGGAUCAAACAGGAUUAGAUACCCUGGUAGUCCACGCCGUAAACGAUGAGUGCUAAGUGUUAGGGGGUUUCCGCCCCUUAGUGCUGCAGCUAACGCAUUAAGCACUCCGCCUGGGGAGUACGACCGCAAGGUUGAAACUCAAAGGAAUUGACGGGGACCCGCACAAGCGGUGGAGCAUGUGGUUUAAUUCGAAGCAACGCGAAGAACCUUACCAAAUCUUGACAUCCUUUGACAACUCUAGAGAUAGAGCUUUCCCCUUCGGGGGACAAAGUGACAGGUGGUGCAUGGUUGUCGUCAGCUCGUGUCGUGAGAUGUUGGGUUAAGUCCCGCAACGAGCGCAACCCUUAAGCUUAGUUGCCAUCAUUAAGUUGGGCACUCUAAGUUGACUGCCGGUGACAAACCGGAGGAAGGUGGGGAUGACGUCAAAUCAUCAUGCCCCUUAUGAUUUGGGCUACACACGUGCUACAAUGGACAAUACAAAGGGCAGCGAAACCGUGAGGUCAAGCAAAUCCCAUAAAGUUGUUCUCAGUUCGGAUUGUAGUCUGCAACUCGACUACAUGAAGCUGGAAUCGCUAGUAAUCGUAGAUCAGCAUGCUACGGUGAAUACGUUCCCGGGUCU